GGCCCCGAGCCCUUGGGGCUGUGCAGAUGGUAGGGAUGCCAACCCUACUGAGGAGCAGAUGGCAGAAACAGAGAGAAACGACGAGGAGCAGUUCGAGUGCCAGGAACUGCUCGAGUGCUGGGUGCAGGUGGGAGCCCCCGAGGAGGAGGAGGAGGACCCGGGCCUGGUGGCUGAGGCCGAGGCUGUGGCUGCUGGCUGGAUGCUCGAUUUCCUCUGCCUCUCUCUUUGCUGAGCUUUCCGCGACGGCCGCCCUGAGGACUUCUGCCGGACCCGCAACAGCGCAGAGGCUAUUAUUCAUGGACUAUCCAGUCUAACAGCUUACCAGUUGAGAACAAUAUGCAUAUGUCAGUUUUUGACAAGCAUUGCAGCAGGAAAAACCCUUGAUGUACAGUUUGAAAAUGAUGAACGAAUUACACCCUUGGAAUCAGCCCUGAUGAUUUGGGGUUCAAUUGAAAAGGAACAUGACAAACUUCAUGAAGAAAUAUAGAAUUUAAUUAAAAUUCAGGCUAUAGCUGUUUGUAUGGAAAAUGACAACUUUACAGAAGCAGAAGAAGUCUUUGAAAGAAUAUUUGGUGAUCCAAAUUCUUAUAUGCCUCUCAAAAGCAAAUUGCUUAUGAUAAUCUCUCAGAAAGAUACAUUUCAUUCCUUUUUUCAACACUUCAGCUACAAUCACAUGAUGGAGAAAAUUAAGAGUUAUGUGAAUUAUGUGCUAAGUGAAAAAUCAUCAACCUUUCUAAUGAAGGCAGCAGCAAAAGUAGUAGAAAGUAAAAGAACAAGAACAAUAAUUUCUCAAGAUAAACCUAAUGGUAAUGAUGUUGAAAUGGAAACUGAAGCUAAUUUGGAUACAAGAAAAAGGUCUCACAAGAAUCUUUUCUUAUCUAAGUUGCAACAUGGAACCCAGCAACAAGACCUUAAUAAGAAAGAAAGGAGAGUAGGAACUCUUCAAAGUACAAAAAAGAAAAAAGAAAGCAGAAGAGCCACUGAAAGCAGAAUACCUAUUUCAAAGAGUCAACUGGUAACUCCUGAAAAACAUCAAGCUAAAAAAAAACAAGCAUGGCUUUGGGAAGAAGACAAGAAUUUGAGAUCUGGCGUGAGGAAACAUGGAGAGGGAAACUGGUCUAAAAUACUAUUGCAUUAUAAAUUCAACAACCGGACAAGUGUCAUAUUAAAAGACAGAUGGAGGACCAUGAAGAAACUAAAACUGAUUUGCUCAGACAGUGAAGACUGA
rnacentral:lncRNA from 1 species